rnacentral:rRNA from 1 species
GAGUUUGAUCGUGGCUCAGAUUGAACGCUGGCGGUAUGCUUAACACAUGCAAGUCGAACGGUAACAGGAGAGAGCUUGCUCUUUUGCUGACGAGUGGCGGACGGGUGAGUAAUGCGUAGGAAUCUGCCUAGUAGUGGGGACAACGUGUGGAAACGCACGCUAAUACCGCAUACGCCCUACGGGGAAAGCGGGGAUCUUCGGACCUCGCGCUAUUAGAUGAGCCUACGUUAGAUUAGCUAGUUGGUGGGGUAAAGGCCUACCAAGGCGACGAUCUAUAGCUGGUCUGAGAGGAUGAUCAGCCACACUGGGACUGAGACACGGCCCAGACUCCUACGGGAGGCAGCAGUGGGGAAUAUUGGACAAUGGGCGAAAGCCUGAUCCAGCAAUACCGCGUGUGUGAAGAAGGCCUGAGGGUUGUAAAGCACUUUCAAUUGUGAAGAAAUAUUUAAGGUUAAUAACCUUAAAUUUUGACGUUAACUUUAGAAGAAGCGCCGGCUAACUCCGUGCCAGCCGCCGCCGU